CGGGAACUCUGGGGAAAAAUGGUGGAAAGGCUCAAAGCUGCAGAUGUCUUUGUUCGUCUGGAGGUGCUGCAUCACUGACGGGAACCGAGGAGGAAACUUGAAGCUGGUUUAGUCUCAGCAGGGCGGAGAUCCGUCUGCUUAGCAGGUCCAGCUUCAUUCCUGACUGACAGAUUAGAUGUUUUCAUCAUCUGGGAUCCAGCAUCUGAGCUUCGAGUCUGAUCUCAGAUCAGGAUUCACCAGCCCUCCUUGGAAACUGCAGGUUUGUCCCUGGGACUGAAGGAGUUCUGGGUUUCUGACCGGCUUUGAUUACUGAAAUGGUCCAGAAGAUCAAGCAGCAGGAAGCUGUUUCCAUGCCAGAACAUUUGAAUUUGUUUCUGUUGGUUCAGGAUAAGAAGUCCUCCUGCUGCAGGGGGCCACAACUGUCCUCCUGCUGCAGGGGGCCACAACUGUCCUCCUGCUGCAGGGGGCCACAACUGUCCUCCUGCUGCAGGGGGCCACAACUGUCCUCCUGCUGCUGGGACACACACGCUCUAGAAGCAAGAAGGAACAACAGGAUAUGAGCAGGAACACUGAGGUCCUACUCCGACUCAGCAGCCAUGUGAUGCUGAAAACCAGGAAAUGUCUGAUUCCUGGAGUUUUACUUCCUGUAGAGUCGGAGCGAUGGCAGAGACUCAAGCAGGAGCCGAGGCUUGCUGAAGCUUCAGGGAAAGUUUUAUUCAACAUCAACCUUUGUCUGCAUUUCCUUCUGAAACCUAAAACCCGUUUCGUUCUGCAUCUCAGGUGAGCCGGACCCUUUUCUGAAGAUCCUAUCAGUAGAGAAGCUUCAGCGGUACUGGGCCCGGGUUCGGUGACUCCACGGCUUUUCUUCAGCUCUUACAUAAUAAACGUUGUUCCAGAUUUGGGCGAGCGGCAUUUGGGUCAAAGGUGUCGAGUUUAAUCCAACAGAAGUUUUUGGGUUUGAUGUCAGAACCGUUGGGACUCAUGGAGUCCUGGUCCAGCCCGGUUCAGGAAGCUGCUACAUGGAGCGACAGUGAGACAGGAGUUAAGUGCUUGCCCCAUAAUCAGAAGGUUGCAGGUUCAAGCCCCGCUCAGUCUGUUGCAGAGGUGUCCUUGGGCAAGACACUUAACCCACCUUGCCUGCAGCCUCGUCUCUGUCAGUGCGUCCAAGGGCAGCUGUGGCUACAGUGUAGCUCAUCACCACCAGGGUGUGGAUGGAUGAAUGACUAAUUGUGUUGUAAAGUGCCUUGGGGGGUUCCAGGACUCUAGAAGUCAGAAAUGAUAACGCUCCUCGGAUGAGAACCAAAAUAUCUUCGGGAAACCAAAGAAGUCCAGCUGCCUGCAUAUUCUGGGUCACAAACACUGUCAGAGUUAAAACAUCCUCCACCUAACAGGUCAGGAAUCCUCCAAUCACCCUAGCUCAUCACCACCUGGGUGUGAAUGACUGAUUGUGUUGUAAAGCGCCUUGGGGGGUUCCAGGACUCUAGAAGGUGCUACAUCAAAUACGGGCCAUUUACACCACAGCAUCCCAUCGGGUUCUGGUUUUAAGCGAGUGGACCACACCUGCUGCUGG